AUUAAAAAAACUAAGCCACAUGCUAUACAUUUACACAGAAUGAUAUGAAUCUAUAAUUGUAUGUUUUUGAUAGGAAAAGAAGAGGUUUUCAUGAUAAAAACGAGCAUAUGAAAAUUAAUUUACGAGAGCAGAGAUGCAUUGCUCACCUGAGACUGCCGGUCGACUUUCCAAACAAGAUCCAACUUCAAACUUCAUAAGCGCUCAAUUUCCGUAUCUGUUUCCUCUAUUUCUGAGUCACUAUCUUCAACGGCUUCAGGGAAUUGAAAUUCUCUGAUUCGAGGAACACUUUAAAAGUUGGAGUGCGUGUGGGAAACCUUGAACCGUGACAGAUUUCCGCAAAAGUUUAUCAGCUCCCCUUGCAGUAACACUCUUCAACGUCAUUAAGAAUGACAUAGUUCCCCAAGGAAAAUUUAGAAACAUGUCUAAAUUUUCUGCCAUGUCCACAUGGACCGGAGAGAUUUUACUUCUACCCGAGGUUGGGCAUAAAACGCCAUCAAUCAAGGCCAGCACAGCGUAACGUAAACGAAUUCCUUGAUCUUGAACCACUCGCUUCUUCAGCCUGCCAACAACCCACUCAACAGAUACAUCACUGCGGUCAAAUAGGUUGUACCAAUACUUGCCAGGCGCCAAUUUUCGUUUCUCUUUCCUCUCUUUCAUACGAGGCGGUUUGUCGCAGUUCAAACCGGUAACAUUUUGAAACUCAGAAAUGGAAAACCGAACAGGGGAUCCAGAGAAAAUUACCCAAAUUUCUUGUUUCUUCCUAACAACAAGCUGCCUCGUUAGCAAAAAGUAAAUAAGCUUCGCAGAAUACGCGGCGCUUUCGGAGAAAUCAAAUAAUUUACCAAACUGAGAUUCCCGGAGAAUUUUCAUGUCCUCCGCAUCUAACGCGUUAGCGAUGUCAUCUAUCAAAGACAGUUCACUGUAGGACUGCACUCUCUCACUGUUGGGCUCGGAUCCAGACCUAGACAACCGACGGGGUAAAGAGUUGUUCGUCAUCUACAAGUCGAACCCUUUUCUGCACAAAAUAGAAGUUUAUAAUCAGAAACAGUAUGAGAUUGCAGAUUUCAGUUAAUCGGAAUACAAAUUGGAGAAAUAAAGAAGUUGAUACCGAUCGAGAACGUUGAAUAGCUUAAACCGCAUAUAUUUUCAAAAUUACCUGUAGCCGGAUGGAAUUGAUCGCCUAACUGCGAGAUUGAAUCUAAAGAAACGAUAUGUAUGCGAAACAAUAUAGAUUUGAAAUAGAUAUUCGGAGAGUUUGCAGAAUCUAUGGGUAGAGAACGGAAGACGUUUUCUCUCGGAAAACCAGCAAAUGAAGCGGCGCUAGUUUUUUUUUUGCAGCUGCUGAUAUUUCCAAAAAAUUGAUAAUAAAUCAUUUUCUCGAAAUUAAAAUCUAUAUCGUUUGCGUCCACAUACAACAUUGCUCUUACCAAGGUUUUCAAAAUUCUAAUUUCUGCAAUCAUACGCCUAUACACCUAUAUGUCCCCUAACCAAGAACACAGUUAUACGGGGUUGCGGGUAAUUUCAAAUACGUCUCCGACAUACACUAUAGACUUAUAGUUAGUUUCUAUAUUAUUAUUGAUUUUAUGGUCAUUUAGUGCAUAUACCCGUAUUAUUAUUGGUUAUGAAUCUAUGAGCUGUAUUAUUUGAAAUGUUCUGAUUGGGUGGUGAUUUUGUGGAGGUGUGAAGCAUAGAAAAACUUGAAAUGCUGAUGUAUCAGUAGAGGAGAGACUUUUAGAGUUUUUGUGGUAUGAAUUAUCUUUUCGAUUUUGUUAAAGCCAAAACAAAAUGGGCUUUGUAGACCACUAAUAUAAAAAUUAAAGUAAGUAAUGGG
rnacentral:sRNA from 1 species